rnacentral:rRNA from 1 species
AUUGAACGCUGGCGGCAGGCCUAACACAUGCAAGUCGAGCGGAUGAAGGGAGCUUGCUCCUGGAUUCAGCGGCGGACGGGUGAGUAAUGCCUAGGAAUCUGCCUGGUAGUGGGGGAUAACGUCCGGAAACGGGCGCUAAUACCGCAUACGUCCUGCGGGAGCAAGUGGGGGAUCUUCGGACCUCACGCUAUCAGAUGAGCCUAGGUCGGAUUAGCUAGUUGGUGGGGCAAGGGCCUACCAAGGGGACGAUCCGUAACUGGUCUGUGAGGAUGAUCAGUCACACUGGAACUGGGACACGGUCAAGACUCCUAAGGGAGGCAGCAGUGGGGAAUAUUGGACAAUGGGCGAAAGCAUGAUCCAGCCAUGCCGCGUGUGUGAAGAAGGUCUUCGGAUUGUAAAGCACGUUAAGUUGGGAGGAAGGGCAGUAAGUUAAUACCUUGCUGGUUUGACGGUACCAACAGAAUAAGCACCGGCUAACUUCGUG